rnacentral:misc_RNA from 1 species
GAAAUGCGAUAAGUAAUGAGAAUUGCAGAAUUCCGUGAAUCAUCGAAUCUUUGAACGCACAUUGCGCCCUCUGGCAUUCCGGGGGGCAUGCCUGUCCGAGCGUCAUUACGCACCCUCAAGCCCGGCUUGUGUGAUGGGCCCCGGCGUCUCGUUCGCGAGACGGGCCCGAAAGGCAGCGGCGGCGUCGACCCGAUGAGCCCGAGCGUAUGGGGACUUCUGUCACACGUUCGCGGUGCGGACCGGCGCCUGCUUGACUUUUCUGAUUAUCCAGGUUGACCUCGGAUCAGGUAGGGAUACCCGCUGAACUUAAGC